GACGAACGCUGGCGGCGUGCUUAACACAUGCAAGUCGAACGCUGAAGCUCAGCUUUUGUUGGGUGGAUGAGUGGCGAACGGGUGAGUAACACGUGAGUAACCUGCCCCCUUCUUUGGGAUAACGCCCGGAAACGGGUGCUAAUACUGGAUAUUCACUGGUCUUCGCAUGGGGGUUGGUGGAAAGGGUUUUUCUGGUGGGGGAUGGGCUCGCGGCCUAUCAGCUUGUUGGUGGGGUGAUGGCCUACCAAGGCUUUGACGGGUAGCCGGCCUGAGAGGGUGACCGGUCACAGUGGGACUGGGCUACGGCCCAGGGUCCUACGGGGGGCGGCAGUGGGGAAUAUGGGAGAAUGGGCGCAAGCCUGAUGCAGCGACGCUGCGUGAGGGAUGGAGGCCUUCGGGUUGUGAACCUCUUUCGCUCAUGGUCAAGCCGCAACAAUGGUUGUGGUGAGGGUAGUGGGUAAAGAAGCGCCGGCUAACUACGUG
rnacentral:rRNA from 1 species